rnacentral:rRNA from 1 species
AGUGAACGCUGGCGGUAGGCCUAACACAUGCAAGUCGAACGGCAGCACAGUAAGAGCUUGCUCUUACGGGUGGCGAGUGGCGGACGGGAGAGGAAUACAUCGGAAUCUACUUUUUCGUGGGGGUUAACGUAGGGAAACUUACGCUAAUACCGCAUACGACCUACGGGUGAAAGCAGGGGAUCUUCGGACCUUGCGCGAUUGAAUGAGCCGAUGUCGGAUUAGCUAGUUGGCGGGGUAAUGGCCCACCAAGGCGACGAUCCGUAGCUGGUCUGAGAGGAUGAUCGGCCGCACUAGAGCUGGGACACGGUCCAGACUCCUACGGUAGGCAGCAGUGGGCAAUAUGGGACAAUAGGCGCAAGCCUGGUCCAGCCAUACCGCGUGUGUGAAGAAGGCCUUCGGUUUGUAAAGCCCUUUUGUUGGGAAAGAAAAGCAGCAGGUUAAUACCCCGCUGUUCUGACGGUACCCAAUGAAUAAGCACCGGCUAACUUCGUG